CACGUAGGGUGCGAGCGUUGUCCGGAAUUAUUGGGCGUAAAGAGCUCGUAGGCGGUUAGUCGCGUCUGCUGUGAAAACUCGGGGCUUAACUCCGGGCCUGCAGUGGGUACGGGCUGACUAGAGUGCGGUAGGGGAGACUGGAAUUCCUGGUGUAGCGGUGAAAUGCGCAGAUAUCAGGAGGAACACCGGUGGCGAAGGCGGGUCUCUGGGCCGUAACUGACGCUGAGGAGCGAAAGCGUGGGGAGCGAACAGG
rnacentral:rRNA from 1 species